UACAGAGGGGGCAAGCGUUGUUCGGAAUUACUGGGCGUAAAGGGUGCGUAGGCGGCGCCGUAAGUCAGGUGUGAAAUCUCGGGGCUCAACCCCGAAACUGCACUUGAUACUGCGGUGCUAGAGGACUCGAGAGGAGAUUGGAAUUUACGGUGUAGCGGUGAAAUGCGUAGAUAUCGUAAGGAAGACCAGUGGCGAAGGCGGGUCUCUGGACAGUUCCUGACGCUGAGGCACGAAGGUCAGGGGAGCAAACGGG
rnacentral:rRNA from 1 species